CGUAGGCGGCGGACCUUGUCGAGUGUGAAAGCCCCGGGCUCAACCUGGGAGGUGCGCUCGAGACGGGUUUGCUGGAGUUCGGGAGAGGAGAGUGGAAUUCCCAGUGUAGAGGUGAAAUUCGUAGAUAUUGGGAAGAACACCGGUGGCGAAGGCGGCUCUCUGGACCGAGACUGACGCUGAGGCGCGAAAGCGUGGGGAGCAAACAGGAUUAGAUACCCUGGUAGUCCACGCUGUAAACGAUGUGUGCUAGACGUUGGGGAGCGUAGCUCUUCGGUGUCGCCGCAAACGCUUUAAGCACACCGCCUGGGGAGUACGGCCGCAAGGUUAAA
rnacentral:rRNA from 1 species